rnacentral:rRNA from 1 species
UACGUAGGGUGCGAGCGUUGUCCGGAAUUAUUGGGCGUAAAGAGCUCGUAGGCGGUGUGUCACGUCGGCCGUGAAAAACCUGCAGCUUAACUGUGGGCGUGCGGUCGAUACGGGCAUCACUGGAGUUCGGCAGGGGAGACUGGAAUUCCUGGUGUAGCGGUGAAAUGCGCAGAUACCAGGAGGAACACCGGUGGCGAAGGCGGGGUCUCUGGGCCGAUACUGACGCUGAGGAGCGAAAGCGUGGGGAGCAAACAGG